rnacentral:rRNA from 1 species
AUUGAACGCUAGCGGGAUGCUUUACACAUGCAAGUCGAACGAGUGGCGGACGGGUGAGUAAUAGAUCGGAACGUGCCCAGUAGCGGGGGAUAACUACUCGAAAGAGUGGAUAAAUCCGCAAACUAUGGGUGCGGGCGAUAUCGGAUUAGCUAGUUGGGGGGGUAAAGGCUCACCAAGGUAACGAUCCGUAGCUGGUUUGAGAGGACGACCGGCCACACUGGGACUGAGACACGGCCCAGACUCCUACGGGAGGCAGCAGUGGGGAAUUUUGGACAAUGGAGGAAACCCUGAUCCAGCCAUCCCGCGUGUGUGAGAAGGCCUUCGGGUUGUAAAGUACUUUUGGCAGAGAAGCGGUAUCUACAGAAUAAGCACCGGCUAACUACGUGCCAGCAGCCGCGGUAAUAC